GCCCUAUACACAUGGAUAACAUACUGAAAAGUUUACUAAUACAUGAUAAUAUAUAUUUACGGCAUCGUAGAUAUAUCAAAGUGUUAGCGGUAUAGGAUGGACCCGCGUCUGAUUAGCUAGUUGGUGAGAUAACUGCCCACCAAGGCGACGAUCAGUAGCCGACCUGAGAGGGUGAUCGGCCACAUUGGAACUGAGACACGGUCCAAACUCCUACGGGAGGCAGCAGCU
rnacentral:rRNA from 1 species